CCUACGGGAGGCAGCAGUGGGGAAUAUUGGGCAAUGGGCGAAAGCCUGACCCAGCAACGCCGCGUGAAGGAAGAAGGCUUUCGGGUUGUAAACUUCUUUUGACAGGGAAGAGCAGAAGACGGUACCUGUCGAAUAAGCCACGGCUAACUACGUGCCAGCAGCCGCGGUAAUACGUAGGUGGCAAGCGUUGUCCGGAUUUACUGGGUGGAAAGGGCGUGUAGCCGGGCUGACAAGUCAGAUGUGAAAUCCGGGGGCUCAACCCCCGAACUGCAUUUGAAACUGUUGGUCUUGAGUAUCGGAGAGGCAGGCGGAAUUCCUAGUGGAGCGGUGAAAUGCGUAGAUAUUAGGAGGAACACCAGUGGCGAAGGCGGCCUGCUGGACGACAACUGACGGUGAGGCGCGAAAGCGUGGGGAGCAAACAGGAUUAGAUACCCCUGUAGUC
rnacentral:rRNA from 1 species